rnacentral:piRNA from 1 species
ACUUGAUGGUUCUGGGGACUAUAU